AUUGAACGCUGGCGGCAGGCCUAACACAUGCAAGUCGAGCGAGCGGCGGACGGGUGAGUAAUGUCUGGGGAACUGCCCGAUUGAGGGGGAUAACUGCUGGCAACGGUGGCUAAUACCGCAUACUACCGGAUGGACCCAUAUGGGAUUAGCUAGUAGGUGGGGUAACGGCUAACCGAGGCGACGAUCGCUAGCUGGUCUGAGAGGAGGAACAGCCACACUGGGACUGAGACACGGCCAAGACUCCGACGGGAGGCAGCAGUGGGGAAUAUUGCACAAUGGGCGCAAGCCUGAUGCAGCCAUGCCUCGUGUAUGAAGCAGGCCUGAGGGUUGUAAAGUACUUUAAGCGGAGAGGCGUUACCCGAAGAAGAAGCACCUGCUAACUCCGUGCCAGCAGCCGCGGUAAUAC
rnacentral:rRNA from 1 species